CUUGACCGAUCCACUGAAGCUGCUGGAACUGCUGGAGCUGCUGGAGGUACUGGUGCUCCUGGAGCCGCUGGUACAUCUGGAGGUCAGGGUGUCAUCUCUCUCGUCGCUCCCAUCAUCAUCACCAUCAUCAUCAUCAACUCCUGAGUCCCGAUGAAGAUCUUCGGUCCUUCAUUUUUCUUAUUUGGCUGUCAUGCAGGGCUGUCCUAAACGUUUAUUUUUCUCCCGAUUAGUCAAACGAUAAAAUUUUCAAGUAAUCAAGUGACGUUUUUACGUGCAUCGUUAAGUUUGGUUUCUCGAAGCAACGGGGCGCGGUCAAAGUUACGUGCUCGUGCUGCUUCAGCUCCUUCAUGAUACCGUGUUACCGUAUAUUCACAUUAGUUGGUAAUUAGUUACCUGGACAUACGAUCAGGGGCGUCGCCAGGAAUUUUGGGCCCCAUGAAAAAAAA